GACGAACGCUGGCGGCGUGGAUUAGGCAUGCAAGUCGAACGGUAUCAUCCUUUCGGGGGUGAGAGAGUGGCGAACUGGUGAGUAACACGUAGGUUAUCUACCCUCAAGACGGGGACAACCCAGGGAAACUUGGGCUAAUACCGGAUGUGAGCAACUUUUAGUUGUUUGAAAGGUGGCGUAAGCUGUCGCUUGGGGAUGAGCCUGCGUCCUAUUUAGUUAGUUGGUGAGGUAACGGCUCACCUAGGCAAUGAUAGGUAGGCGGCCUUAACGGGUGGUCGCCCACACUGGGAUUGAGAUACGGCCCAGACUCCUACGGGAGGCAGCAGUCGAGAAUAGUCUACAAUGGUCGGAAGACUGAUAGUGCGACGCCGCGUGAACGAUGAAUCCCUUCGGGGUGUAAAGUUCUUUUUAUAUGUGAGCAGUGCUUCUUAUAUUUAACAGUAUGGGGAGAGAGAUAUUAGCAUAUGAAUAAGCAACGGCUAACUCCGUGCCAGCAGCCGCGGU
rnacentral:rRNA from 1 species